rnacentral:rRNA from 1 species
AUGGGGUGCAGCAGGGGCGAAACCUUUACACUGCACGCAAGUGCGAUAAGGGGACCCCGAGUGCGAGGGCAUAUCGUCCUCGCUUUUUCCGACCGUAAGGUGGUCGGCGAAUAAGAGCUGGGCAAGACCGGUGCCAGCCGCCGCGGUAAUACCGGCAGCUCAAGUGAUGACCGAUUUUAUUGGGCCUAAAGCGUCCGUAGCCGGCCACGAAGGUCCAUCGGGAAAUCCGCCAGCUCAACUGGCGGGCGUCCGGUGGAAACCACGUGGCUUGGGAUCGGAAGGCUCGAGGGGUACGUCCGGGGUAGGAGUGAAAUCCCGUAAUCCUGGACGGACCGCCGAUGGCGAAAGCACCUCGAGAAGACGGAUCCGACAGUGAGGGACGAAAGCUGGGGUCUCGAACCGGAUUAGAUACCCGGGUAGUCCCAGCCGUAAACAAUGCCAAUUAGGUGUGGCACCGACUACGAGUCGGUGCUGUGCCGUAGGGAAGCCGAUAAAUUGGCCGCCUGGGAAGUACGUCCGCAAGGAUGAAACUUAAAGGAA